rnacentral:lncRNA from 1 species
GCAGACAUUCCUGAACACCACCUAACACCACUGGCAGGAUAACUUAGUGGAGUGCCAAAAGAGCAAAGAGCACUCAGUGAGUGGUAAGCUGGAUAGCCCACCCUGGUGAAGCCUGAGUCUCCAGCCCAGAUUCCUCUUAUAUCUUACUCCUUGCUGAUGGGGAAACGAAGAGACAGACCCAAGCCCCAGAUUAGACAUCUUUGUGGAUGAGUUCUAUCCAACUGAUCAGGAUGUAAUGUGACCAGUUCUCCUCAGCUUCCGCCACAGUGUAUCCUCUACUAUAUAUAAGAGUCCAACCUGACAUUUGAGCCAAGUAAACCUUUUCUUCCA